UAUGGAGGGUGCGAGCGUUGUUCGGAAUCACUGGGCGUAAAGCGCGUGUAGGCGGCCCAUUAAGUCUGAUGUGAAAGCCCGGGGCUCACCCCCGGAAGUGCAUUGGAAACUGAUGGACUCGAGUCCCGGAGAGGAGAGUGGAAUUCCUGGUGUAGCGGUGAAAUGCGUAGAUAUCGGAAGGAACACCAGUGGCGAAAGCGGCUUCCUGGUCCAGCACCGACGUUCAGGCACGAAAGCGUGGGGAGCAAACAGG
rnacentral:rRNA from 1 species